GAUGAAGAACGCAGCGAAAUGCGAUACUUGGUGUGAACUGCAGAAUCCCGUGAACCAUCGAGUCUUUGAACGCAAGUUGCGCCCGAAGCCACUAGGCCGAGGGCACGCCUGCCUGGGCGUCACACGCCGUUGCCCCCCCAUCUACUCCUUCGGGAUUGCGGGGGGGCGGAUGAUGGCCUCCCGUGCGCCUAGCCGCGCGGUUGGCAUAAAUACCAAGUCCUCGGCGACGCACGCCACGACAAUCGGUGGUUGCGAAACCUCGGUUGCCCGUCGUGUGCGUUCGUCGCGCAUCGAGGGCUCGAAAAAAUGCUCGGCUCCGGCUGGGCUUUCAACGCGACCCCAGGUCAGGCGGGGUUACCCGCUGAAUUUAAGCAUAUCAAUAAGCGGAGGA
rnacentral:misc_RNA from 1 species